CCUACGGGAGGCAGUUGCCCGGCCGAAUGUCUACCUUAUCACCCGACACCACGGAAUCACCAACCUUGAGACCGAGUGGCCACAAUAUGUAACUCUUGGCGCCGUCCAGGUAUGUUACUCUGGCAAGGCGAGCACUGCGGUUCGGCUCGUAUUCGAUCUCGGUGACAGUGCCAGGCACAUCAACUUUGUCCCUCUUAAAGUCAAUUACUCUAAAAAGUCUUUUGGAUCCGCCGCCACGAUGACGAGAAGUGACCCGGCCAUUGUUGUUACGGCCGCCAGUUUUACGCAUUCCCGUUACGAGCGCCUGCAGGGGCUCGUCAGUGGUGAUCUCGUCAAACGCAAAGCCCGUCUUGAACCUGAUACCCCAGUAGUC
rnacentral:rRNA from 1 species